rnacentral:rRNA from 1 species
UUGCCAGCAUUCAGUUGGGCGACUCUAAGGUGACUGCCGGCUAAAAGUACGGAGGAAGGUGGGGAGUGACGUCAAAUCAUCAUGCCCCUUAUGACCUGGGCUACACACGUGCUACAAUGGGCGGUACAAAGGGUCGCGAACCCGCGAGGGGGAGCCAAUCCCAAAAAGCCGCUCUCAGUUCGGAUUGCAGGCUGCAACUCGCCUGCAUGAAGCCGGAAUCGCUAGUAAUCGCGGAUCAGCAUGCCGCGGUGAAUACGUUCCCGGGCCUU